GAAUCGCUUGAACCCAGGAGGUGGAGGCUGCAGUGAGCCAAGAUCGUGCCACUGCACUACAGCCUGGGUGACAGAGC
rnacentral:miRNA from 1 species